rnacentral:rRNA from 1 species
CAAUAGCGUAUAUUUAAGUUGUUGCAGUUAAAAAGCUCGUAGUUGGAUUUCGGAUGGGACUUGCCGGUCCGUCGUUUCGAUGUGCUCUGGCCAGUCCUAUCUUGUUGUCGGGGACUAGCUCCUGGGCUUUACUGUCCGGGACUAGGAGCUGACGAGGUUACUUUGAGUAAAUUAGAGUGUUCAAAGCAAGCCUACGCUCUGAAUACAUUAGCAUGGAAUAACACGAUAGGACUCUGGCUUAUCUUGUUGGUCUGUGAGACCAGAGUAAUGAUUAAGAGGGACAGUCGGGGGCAUUCGUAUUUCAUUGUCAGAGGUGAAAUUCUUGGAUUUAUGAAAGACGAACUUCUGCGAAAGCAUUUGUCAAGGAUGUUUUCAUUAA